rnacentral:rRNA from 1 species
CUGGAGCUUGCUCCUUUUCUUAGUGGCGCACGGGUGAGUAACGCGUGGGUAUCUACCUUAAAGUGGGGAAUAACUGUUGGAAACGACAGCUAAUACCGCAUACGCCCUCCGGGGGAAAGGCUUCGGCCGCUUUUAGAUGAGCCCGCGUUGGAUUAGCUAGUUGGUAGGGUAAUGGCCUACCAAGGCGACGAUCCAUAGCUGGUCUGAGAGGAUGACCAGCCACACUGGGACUGAGACACGGCCCAGACUCC